AGGUAACCAUAGUCCCUCCUAUUUCAAUUGAUAUGGCUUAAUUUGAUCUAACACGGAGUUUAGAGGUAGAUUGUCACGACCUGGCGAGGGUCAUGACCGGCGCUAAGUGGGUCUAAGACCACUAACUCUUUCUGUUUCAUGUCAAAAAUCCGGCAAGAGUCUCCUCUGUACCGGUAGCAAUCCAAAACUUUAAACGUGUCAGCAAACCCAAACUCGACACACCAUAACUACAAUAACAGUAAAGUACAAAGUCUAAAAUAAAUAUCAACAACACAAAGCCACAUGAUUCAACAUCAACUUUACACGUCUCAAGCUACUCUAUUACUACGCAAGCCAAAAUAUAAGUCCAAGACCGACUUAAGGAGCAGAACUCUAGGAUUUAAACCAACAACAUGCCAAAAGGUCUAAGCAAAAUGACAACCCACGCGAAGCAAGUGCGAGGCUUACGGGAUCCAUGGUCAGCUCUGUCAAUCACUAUACCUGAGUCGAAAUGUCAGCUUCAGCUAUAUUAUCUGUGGUAUGGAAAAAAAAAAAAGAAACACGGCACCGAUUGAGAGUAAUAAUGUCAACCAUAGUAAUUAUUUGGAACAAGCAUAUAUCAGAAAUCAUGUAUCUCAUAAGAUCUUCAACAAUAGUUUAUUAACCCAACACAAUAAUUCAUGUAUGAAAUGAUAAAUCAAGGGAGUGAAAACAUGCUCAUAAUUAUAUUUUUCUAUAAUCUCUUUAAAAUGAGAGAUACUUAAGCUAGAGUCACCAUGGGUCUACCAUGGCCGUCUGACAACCCCGUCAGCUAGGUUCCCUUCUAGAGCGCAUAAGUGUGAUAUACACCGGUCUAUCAUACCAGGUGCACCAGGUCUUUAGAUAACGGCGAUCUGGCCAAGUUGAUUCUCAAAGCCAUUUCCUUUAUAGCACAGUAUAUUUUUACACUUCUUCUAUCAAGAAUUAAAUCCAAAAUAAGGAGAAGAAAUCAUAAAUAAACUAACUCCAAAGCAUAUUAAUUGUAAAAGACAUCAUGUAUUAAAGCGUCAUUUAGCAUAUAUCAACAUACCGAAUUAUACUAUUGCUUGUCCAUAUGCAAGUAAAUAAGCUUUUGUCAAAUAUUUUUGAUGCAAGAAACUAGUUUCAAAUAUGCUAUAGUUGAAAAUCAACUAUGGAAGAGUCAUCACUCGCAAUACUAUUGCCGAACAACUUCAAGUUGCUUCCGAUAAUCGUGUCGUCAAAUAUCAUUAUCUAAAAUACAAUACAAGGUUUGAUUAAUUAUUCUUAAACUCAUGAAAUUACAUAUUUCUAGUGAUAAAAACUUAUAAUUUCUGAUUCCCACUUCAACUAUUGCACCAAGUCACUUCUCUGUACAAAUAGUUUGAGUGGCAACUCUAGCAUUCCUACCUAAAUUUUUGUUCUAAAAAUAAUUUCAACAUUCUUUAAUAGCAGGUUAUAAAAAUUGUGCUUCAUACUCGGAAAAGUUUAUAUUCGGCUGGUGUGUACAUCAAUUUAUUUAUUCCUAGCCAUCUUCAAAAGGACUUGCGGUCUUUAUUCUAUUCUGGAAAAGAAUAUCUUUUCUCUUCUUUGCUUCCUGAUAAUUUGCUACCCGAUUACUUUGCCCCAAAGUUGAAGUUUCCCCAUUUUCAUAAUUGACUUUGUAAGUUUCAGCUAUUACGUAUUACUCCUAGAAAAAGAAGAGAUCGAUUGAUGGGUAAAUAUUUUUUUCAUACACACCUGAAUGAAGGAGCAAUAACAGAGUAAGGAAUUUAGGUGUUUGCCGGGAGCGUUAGCCUUAGAUUUUGCUUCUAGGUUUCUGGUUCUUGCUAUUCUUUCCUUAAUAUUCUCUCUCUUCUUUUUCUUUUUCUUUUUCUUGGAGAGUUGCUGCCAACUUCACGAUGAAAC
rnacentral:lncRNA from 1 species